rnacentral:tRNA from 1 species
ACAGGUUUGAUGUAACUGGCAACAACCCGGACUCCAAAUCCGGACAUGAAGGUUCGAAUCCUUCAACCUGUGCUA